rnacentral:rRNA from 1 species
ACGGGGUGCAGCAGGCGCGAAACCUCCGCAAUGUGAGAAAUCGCGACGGGGGGAUCCCAAGUGCCAUUCUUAACGGGAUGGCUUUUCAUUAGUGUAAAGAGCUUUUGGAAUAAGGGCUGGGCAAGACCGGUGCCAGCCGCCGCGGUAACACCGGCAGCUCUAGUGGUAGCAGUUUUUAUUGGGCCUAAAGCGUCCGUAGCCGGUUUAAUAAGUCUCUGGUGAAAUCCUGUAGCUUAACUGUGGGAAUUGCUGGAGAUACUAUUAGACUUGAGACCGGGAGAGGUUAGAGGUACUCCCAGGGUAGAGGUGAAAUUCUGUAAUCCUGGGAGGACCGCCUGUUGCGAAGGCGUCUAACUGGAACGGUUCUGACGGUGAGGGACGAAAGUUAGGGGCGCGAACCGGAUUAGAUACCCGGGUAGUCCUAACUGUAAACGGUGCGGACAUGGUGUUGGGGUGGCUUUGAGCUGGUUCCAGUGCCGAAGGGAAGCUGUUAAGUUCCGCCGCCUGGGAAGUACGGUCGCAAAGACUGAAACUUAAAGGAAUUGGCGGGGGAGCAC